CGAAUGGGACGUUGCAACGAGAGAGAAACGAGGCCGCUUCGAAGAUUUCGGCGGGCAUCGAUCAGCCGCAGAUUGCAAGGUGGUGUAUACGUGGAAGAUGCACGCGACUCGAACGGAAAUUGGCAGAAAAAGCGGGGGAAGGAAACCUGUGGCGGUUGCAUUAACGAACGCCGUUUCCAAAGUUGUCCUUCCACGGUCAGUUACUCUCCAUAAUCUGCGACAUGCUCGGCGAGCUGUGAAUUGAAUUUCGCAAGGAUGGCCGCGUGCCGACGCGCUGCGAAAGAGGAAGUUUCGCGGCCGAUAGCUGCCGGCACGAACUGCGUGCACGCCUGCAGACAAUCGGCCGGAUAAGUUUCGCAACUGAUUCGAAACAUAUGCGGUGUACUCGAAGCGAAGUGCACGCGGC
rnacentral:misc_RNA from 1 species